GGCCUGGGAGAACACCUGGAGCUCCCCAGCCCUGGCACUCUGGGCAGCAGCCUGACCCUGGGCAGCAGCCUGAGCCUCACGUCCCAGCCCGAGGAAGAGUCGUCGGCGGAGGGCAGGAAGCCCGCCUGUCCUGAGAAGCCGUCGCUGCUGACCAGUCUCCGAGAGUCGGCCUGCCUGCUGGGCCAGGCCCAGGGCUCCCUGGAAAGGCUGGAGAGAAGGUUCUCGGCCAGGAUUCGGACCCUGCAGGAGCUGCUGGGAGACAACCCCGAGGCCCCAGCCUCCCAGUCCGCCGGCCCCCAGAGUGGCCCCAGUCUUCAGGAGUGCAUAGACCUUGCCGCCCGGGCCCGAAGCCUGGACAGACAGGAGGGUCAGACCCAGGUGCAGGUCUCUGAGCUAGCCAAGGGAGGCCUCUUUCACCAGGCCUGCAGAAGUAAGUAGUGGCAGUCUCUUUCUCCAGCUCCUAAGCAUUUGAGGGGUC
rnacentral:lncRNA from 1 species